rnacentral:rRNA from 1 species
GACGUAGGGCGCGAGCGUUGUCCGGAUUUAUUGGGCGUAAAGAGCUCGUAGGCGGCUUGUCGCGUCGACUGUGAAAGCCCGCGGCUCAACUGGGCGGGGUCAGCGGAUACGGCGUGGCUGGAGCAAGCUAGGGGGCAAUGGAAUUCCCGGUGUAGUGGUGGAAUGCGUAGAUAUCGGGAGGAACACCAGUGGCGAAGGCGGUUGCCUGGAGCUUUGCUGACGCUGAUGCGCGAAAGCGUGGGGAGCGAUCCGG